rnacentral:rRNA from 1 species
GAUUAACGCUGGCGGCGUGCAUAACACAUGCAAGUCGAACGAUGAAACUUAAAUGAUUUCUUCGGAAUGAACUUAAGUGGAUUAGUUGCGGACGGGUUAGUAACGCGUGAGUAACCUGCCUUACACAAGGGGAUAGCCGUUGUAAACGACGAAUAAUACCCUAUGAUGUUUCUAUCUCGCAUGAGAUAUUAACCAAAGUGUUAGCGGUGUAAGAUGGACUUGCGUCUGAUUAGCUAGUUGGUGAGAAAAAAGCCCACUAAGGCAACGAUCAGUAGCCGGCUUGAGAGAGUGUACGGCCACAUUGGGACUGAGACACGGCCCCGACUCCUACGGGAGGCAGCAGUGGGGAAUUUUGCACAAUGGGGGAAACCCUGAUGCAGCGACGCCGCGUGAUUUAGAAGGCCUUCGGGUUGUAAAAAUCUUUUGUAUAGGAAGAAAAUGACAGUACUAUACGAAUAAGGUCCGGCUAAUUACGUG